rnacentral:rRNA from 1 species
AUGCAGAUCUUUGUGAAGACUCCCACUGACAGGACCAUCACUCUUGAUGUUGAGAGUUCAAAUACUAUUGAUAACGUGAAGGCUAAGAUUCAUGAAAAGGAGGGCAUCCCUCCAUACCAGCAGUGUCUCAUAUUUAUUGGCAAGCACCUCGAAGAUAACCGCACCUUGGCCGACUAUGACAUUAAAAAGGAAUUCACCAUUUAUCUUUUCCCCCGCCUCGAAGGAGGGAUGGGGAUUUCCGUGGAGACCCUUUAUGGCAAGGUGAUCACCCUGCAAGUCGAUCCAUCAGAUACCAUCCAAGCCAUCAUGGCAAAGAUUAACGAUGAGUAUGGCAUUCAUCCAGCCCAGCAGCGCCUCAUCUUUAACAAGCAAAAGCUGGAGUGCCGCUAUCCUUUGAUGUACUAUGACAUCCAAAAUGGAUCCACUCUCGACCUUGUCGUCUGUCAACGACCAAAACUGAUGCAGAUCUUUGUCAGGAAUUUGUCAGGAAAGACGUUGGUGUUUCAGGUUAGGAGCUCGGAUACAGUUUAUAGUGUCAAGGAGAAGAUUCACCAGGUGGAAGGCAUUGACCCGAACGAACAGCGUCUGACCUAUGGAAUCCAGCUAGAGGAUGACCUCACAUUGGCAGACCAAGAUAUCGAAGAGCACUGCACUCUUCAUCUUAACCUCCGCCUCCUGUCAUGUAUUAACUGCACCACAAACAAUCACUCGACUGCACGUAAAAUGUGUCACAAGUAA